GAUGAAGAACGCAGCGAAAUGCGAUAAGUAAUGUGAAUUGCAGAAUUCAGUGAAUCAUCGAAUCUUUGAACGCACCUUGCGCCCUUUGGCUAUUCCGAAGGGCAUGCCUGUUUGAGUAUCAUGAACACCUCAACUCUCAUGGUUUGCCAUGAUGAGCUUGGACUUUGGGGGUCUUGCCGGCCUAUGGGUCGGCUCCUCUCAAAUUAAUCAGCUUGCCAGUGUUUGGUGGCAUCACAGGUGUGAUAACUAUCUACGCUUGUGGUUUUCCAUCAGGUAACCUUCAGUGAUGGAGGUUCGCUGGGGCUCAUAAAUGUCUCUCCUCAGUGAGGACAGCCCUUUGAAUGUUUGAUCUCAAAUCAGGUAGGACUACCCGCUGAACUUAAGCAUAUCAAUAACGGAGGA
rnacentral:misc_RNA from 1 species